AACGAACGCUGGCGGCAGGCCUAACACAUGCAAGUCGAACGCACCGCAAGGUGAGUGGCGGACGGGUGAGUAACGCGUGGGAACGUGCCCAUCGGAUCGGAAUAACCCAGGGAAACUUGGGCUAAGACCGGAUACGCCCUUGAGCUUUGGUUUGGGGGGAAAGAUUGAUCGCCGAUGGAUCGGCCCGCGUCUGAUUAGCUGGUUGGUGGGGUAACGGCCCACCAAGGCGACGAUCAGUAGCUGGUCUGAGAGGAUGAUCAGCCACACUGGGACUGAGACACGGCCCAGACUCCUACGGGAGGCAGCAGUGGGGAAUAUUGGACAAUGGGCGCAAGCCUGAUCCAGCCAUGCCGCGUGAGUGAUGAGGCCCUAGGGUUGUAAAGCUCAUUCGCACGCGACGAUAAUGACGGUAGCGUGAGAAGAAGCCCCGGCUAACUUCGUGCCAGCCGCCGC
rnacentral:rRNA from 1 species